rnacentral:rRNA from 1 species
AUGACAAAUAUGGUUCGAUGGCUCUUCUCUACUAACCACAAGGAUAUUGGGACUCUCUAUUUCAUCUUCGAUGCCAUUGCAGGAGUGAUGGGCACAUGCUUCUCCGUACUGAUUCGUAUGGAAUUAGCCCUACCCGGCGAUCAAAUUCUUGGUGGGAAUCAUCAACUUUAUAAUGUUUUAAUAACGGCUCAUGCUUUUUUAAUGAUCUUUUUUAUGGUUAUGCCGGCGAUGAUAGGUGGAUUUGGUAAUUGGUUUGUUCCGAUUCUGAUAGGUGCACCUGACAUGGCAUUUCCACGAUUAAAUAAUAUAUCAUUCUGGUUGUUGCCACCAAGUCUCUUGCUCCUAUUAAGCUCAGCCUUAGUAGAAGUGGGCAGCGGCACUGGGUGGACAGUCUAUCCGCCCUUAAGUGGUAUUACCAGCCAUUCUGGAGGAGCAGUUGAUUUAGCAAUUUUUAGUCUUCAUCUAUCAGGUAUUUCAUCAAUUUUAGGUUCUAUCAAUUUUAUAACAACUAUCUUCAACAUGCGUGGACCUGGAAUGACUAUGCAUAGAUUACCACUUUUUGUGUGGUCCGUUCUAGUGACAGCAUUCCUACUUUUAUUAUCACUUCCGGUACUGGCGGGGGCAAUUACAAUGUCAUUAACCGAUCGAAACUUUAAUACAACCUUUUUGAUCCUGCAGGAGGGGGAGACCCAAUAUUAUACCAGCAUCUCUUUUGGUUCUUCGGUCAUCCAGAGCUGUAUAUUCUCAUUCUGCCUGGAUUUGGUAUUAUUAGUCAUAUCGUAUCGACCUUUUCAAGAAAACCGGUCUUCGGGUAUCUAG